rnacentral:rRNA from 1 species
GUCACUGACCGUGAUAAUGUAGCGUAAUCAAUAGCCAAUUAAUUGUUGGCCGGUAUGAAUGGCAUCACGAAGGCCCCACUGUCUUAAGAGGACUCUCCAUGAAAUUGAAUUCGUAGUGAAGAUGCUACGUCCAUAUUGUAAGACGAAAAGACCCCAUUGAGCUUUACUAAAGACUUGUAUAGCUCGAAAUAACUUAAAUAAAAAGUUUAGAUAAUGUGGGACCCGUUUUUGGUUAAUGAAACACCACUCUUUUAUUUUAAGAGAGCUAACCUUGUAGGGAAAAUGCAAGUUGGAUAGUUUGGUUGGGGCGACCACCUUUUAAAAGGUAACGAAGGUGAGCUUAAGGUCCGUAGUUAAUAGCUGGUGGCCUGACUGCAAGGGGGACACUCCGAGCAGACACGUCCUUAGGGAUGUGGGUUAUAGUGACCCGUCAUCUUAGAGUGGAAUAGUUGACGAUCAACGAAUAAAAGCUACCAUGGGGA